rnacentral:tRNA from 1 species
GGGGAUUUAGCUCAGUGGUAGAGUGCUUGCCUAGCAAGCACAAGGUCCUGGGUUCGAUCCUCAGCUCCA